rnacentral:misc_RNA from 1 species
GAUGAAGAACGUAGCGAAAUGCGAUAAGUAAUGCGAAUUGCAGAAUUUCCGUGAGUCAUCGAAUCUUUGAACGCACAUUGCGCCCAUUGGUAUUCCGAUGGGCAUGCCUGUUCGAGCGUCAUUAUCUUCCCUCAAACCUCGGGUUUGGUGUUGGGCCGCGCUGGUUCCUUCGUGACCAACUGGCCUCAAAGACAAUGGCGGCGUCCGUGGGACCCUCGGUGCAACGAGCUUCUUAGGAGCACGCGUCGAGUUUCAAGGACCUUCCGGGCCGGACUCUCCUCAUGUUAUCACAAGGUUGACCUCGGAUCAGGUAGGGAUACCCGCUGAACUUAAGCAUAUCAAUAAGCGGAGGA